UACCAGUAAACAGCUUUUUGACUGGAAAUAUUGCUACAAUCAAACGUUGCAUACAAACUAUCUUAUAGCGUUUUUUAAUUUAGUCGGUACAUUGAAGAAGUCAAUGUUUGAUUUCUCUCGUAUUUUUCUUAUAAGAUGAGAAAUUUCACAAUUUUUUUCAAUUUCUGGGUUAUUUUUGCAACAGAGAAAAAUAUACGACUGACAAUGCGCUGUAUAUUUCAUUAGCAAU